AUACUAAGGAGCUUUUGCAAGUCAAUGUGCAAAAAGACACUACAAUGAGUGGAGAAUCAACAGUGCUCUCAGAACUUUGCUCUCAGAAAACUUAAGUUACCAGGCACUAAGUGGCUACUCAAAAUGUGGUUUGUGGACCAGAAGCAUCACAUCUCCUGGGAACUAGGUAGGCCUAAUGGAAUCAAGAGGGCCCUUUAGAGUGGAAGAGGGAAUUUGAAGAAAGAACCAGAGACAUGUCAGCAUGAGAAGGACUCAGCCUAAUCUUGCUGCCUUUGAAGUUGGAGGAAGGGGUCUAUGAAGCUGGAAAAGGUGAGGAAACAGAUUUUCCCCCAGGGCCUCCAGGAAGAAAUGCACCUGCUGGCACCUUGAUCUUAGCCAAGUAACCUCUACGUCAGACUUCUGACCUAUAAAACUGUAAAAUAAUAAAUGUGUGUUGUUUUAA